rnacentral:rRNA from 1 species
UACGUAGGUGGCGAGCGUUGUCCGGAUUUACUGGGCGUAAAGGGCGCGUAGGCGGCCUUCUAAGUCGAACGUGAAAUCCCCGGGCUCAACCCGGGAACUGCGUCCGAGACUGGAAGGCUCGAAUCCGGGAGAGGGAUGUGGAAUUCCAGGUGUAGCGGUGAAAUGCGUAGAUAUCUGGAGGAACAUCGGUGGCGAAGGCGGCAUCCUGGACCGGUAUUGACGCUGAGGCGCGAAAGCCAGGGGAGCAAACGGG